rnacentral:rRNA from 1 species
CCUACGGGAGGCAGCAGUGGGGAAUAUUGCACAAUGGGGGAAACCCUGAUGCAGCGACGCCGCGUGAGUGAAGAAGUAUUUCGGUAUGUAAAGCUCUAUCAGCAGGGAAGAAAAUGACGGUACCUGAGUAAGAAGCCCCGGCUAACUACGUGCCAGCAGCCGCGGUAAUACGUAGGGGGCAAGCGUUAUCCGGAUUUACUGGGUGUAAAGGGAGCGUAGACGGCAGUGCAAGUCUGAAGUGAAAGGCGGGGGCUCAACCCCGGGACUGCUCUGGAAACUGUACGGCUGGAGUGCAGGAGAGGUAAGUGGAAUUCCUGGUGUAGCGGUGAAAUGCGUAGAUAUUAGGAGGAACACCAGUGGCGAAGGCGGCUUACUGGACUGUAACUGACGUUGAGGCUCGAAAGCGUGGGGAGCAAACAGGAUUAGAUACCCGGGUAGUC